rnacentral:rRNA from 1 species
AGAACGAACGCUGGCGGCAUGCCUAAUACAUGCAAGUCGAACGAACUCUUCGGAGUUAGUGGCGCACGGGUGCGUAACGCGUGGGAAUCUGCCCCUUGGUUCGGAAUAACAGUUGGAAACGACUGCUAAUACCGGAUGAUGACGAAAGUCCAAAAGAUUUAUCGCCAAGGGAUGAGCCCGCGUAGGAUUAGCUAGUUGGUGAGGUAAAGGCUCACCAAGGCAACGAUCCUUAGCUGGUCUGAGAGGAUGAUCAGCCACACGUGGACUGAGACACGGCCCAGACUCC